UGAGUAACCUGCCCUUAACUCUGGGAUAAGCCUGGGAAACUGGGUCUAAUACCGGAUAUGACUCCUCAUCGCAUGGUGGGGGGUGGAAAGCUUUUUGUGGUUUUGGAUGGACUCGCGGCCUAUCAGCUUGUUGGUGAGGUAAUGGCUCACCAAGGCGACGACGGGUAGCCGGCCUGAGAGGGUGACCCGGCCACACUGGGACUGAGACACGGCCCAGACUCCGUACGGGAGGCAG
rnacentral:rRNA from 1 species